rnacentral:tRNA from 1 species
ACUGCCUUCUAAGCAGUGGGUCACAGGUUCGAUCCCUGUCGGGCGUACCA